CCACCUGGAGCUCGGAGUCCCCCGCAGCUGCGCUGGGUGCGGGUCUCUGUUCCUCUCCAAGAAGUCAACUCUGGCCCCGAGCCCAGCCCUGAGCUCCCUGCUACGGCCACGGCUGCCCAGCCUGCUGAACACGCCUGGCGCAGGUGUCCAAGCCCUGCUGUCGCCUCGACCCCCACCACAGCCAGCCACCUGGUGGACAAGGGAACGCGGGAACAGCACGGCAGGAGGUGGCCGUCACCCUAGGAGGGCGGCGUGCGGAAGCGGAUCUUCUUGGCUGUUUCCACGUCGGACUUGGCAACCAAAAAC